CGUAAACAACCUGCCUUAAGGAUGGGGAUAACAGACGGAAACGACUGCUAAUACCGAAUACGUUCUAAGCAUCGCAUGAUGCAUAGAAGAAAGGGUGGCCUCUACAAGAAAGCUAUCGCCUUAAGAGGGGUUUGCGACUGAUUAGGUAGUUGGUGAGGUAACGGCUCACCAAGCCGACGAUCAGUAGCCGGUCUGAGAGGAUGAACGGCCACACUGGAACUGAGACACGGUCCAG
rnacentral:rRNA from 1 species